rnacentral:lncRNA from 1 species
GUCCUAGAUGUGACUUAACAGGACGAUGUGGCGUUGAUAUGGAGGAACAUUAGAUGGGAAAGGCUCUAUGAUAGACUUAAAACGAGGUGGUGCUGAUGAAAUGGAUGAACAAUGGUGCCUACGCUUUUCAUAUGGAGCAUUAAUAAGUAACUUAUAGUCUCGAGCUAAAGAGUAAGCGUGAUCAAGAGUAGUGACACCUCAAAAGAAAAGCUCACGUCCAUGUUCAUCUCUUGGACCUUGUAUAAAUCUACUCAAAGUCAGGACCUCAUCCUCAAUGACAUGACAUUUCAUUCGAAUUUCCUCAAAUUAAGCAAUGUACUCAGUUACUAGCCGAUUCCCUUGUGUAAAGGUGUUCCAUUGAAUAAAAAUUUCAUGAUCUAAGCAACUAUCGAAAGUAGGAGUAUCUGACUUAAUGUCUCUAAAGAAACGCUCUUUAUGACGAGGAAAAGAAUGAGUACAAUAAUGACCAUGGCCUCGUUCUCGUUCACGAACCUGACCCCUAUCCCUAUGAUCGUGCUUACAAUUGUUCAAACUAGCAGCUAGAUCUAUGCUCUUUUCAUGAGUUGCAGCCAUCUCACUUUGGAUAGCCACUAAUUGAGUUUGUAAUUG